rnacentral:lncRNA from 1 species
UGUUAUUCAAGACAUUUUGUUUUUAUCUUAGAUAUGUAGCUCUUACAUUUUAGUAAAUAUACUCUGAACAAAGUAAUGUUUGUUCUAGUAAAACUUUAAUAUGAAACUUUUAUUGAGAAAGAUUAAGCUAUUUUAGCAAGAUAUAUACCAACUUUUACUAGUAACUAUUAUCCCCUUCCCUGGUGAUCAGACAAACUUACUUUCCUACCUUUGUCUUGGUAACUUCUCAGCUCCAUGAUUUAUGAUGGACUGGCCCUAAAGAAGAAAAUGUAGUAUUGUUUAUGUAAUCCUGCCAAGGAACCUGGCUUCUCCUACUCCUUAAUAGUCUCCUAUUCCUUAAUAGUUUGCAGUGGAUCCAAGUGUGUGCGGCCUCCCACUUCAAGGGUGUGAGUUGACACAGUGGAGAAAUGGUGUCACCCAGAGGGACAGCUGAGUUUCCCACUCAACCUUCCUGAGGAGGCCCAGUCUCGUGCAUGGCCAAGGCUUCAGGGAAUGAAAGGUACUGGGGAUCGAACUCAGGAUCUCGAGCUUGCGAAGCAGGCACGGCGCCACUGAGCUAAAUCCCUGGCCACCUUGGAAGGCUUUUAAAGUAGUUUGUUUAAAUAGCCAUACUCUUAAGAAUUACUCUUAGGAGGAAUCUUUUAUUAUCGAUUUUCUUCAAAGGAAAUGAGUAAAUAUUAUAGUAAUAAUUUUAUCUUCAUUGAUUCUGUGGCUUCUCAUUAAAACAACCACUUGACCACUAAGCACAUCCACAUUUGACUUGUAUGCUUUAUGAGGCAGCUUCAUUAAUCACAUCUUCAGGAAUUUUGUGGCCCUUGGAGUUGCUUCAUGAGCCACCAUUGAGCUGGUAGACUAACAGAGCCCUUCAGCAUUUAGUAGCAUUUAAUCAUGGUUCCCUGAAAAGCUGACUUGCUUAGCUAGUUCUCUAACCUGUUUUAUGUACUGCUAAACCAUAACAAUCUUUGAGGUGCUUGGUACGCUAACUAUGCACAGAUUUAUUUGUAGAAUCCUAGUUUAUUUAUUUUUAUUUUUUAAAAUUUUAUUUUAUUGGUACAU